rnacentral:rRNA from 1 species
UGUUGGUGAGGUAAUGGCUCACCAAGGCGACGAUCCGUAACUGGUCUGAGAGGAUGAUCAGUCACACUGGAACUGAGACACGGUCCAGACUCCUACGGGAGGCAGCAGUGGGGAAUAUUGGACAAUGGGCGAAAGCCUGAUCCAGCCAUGCCGCGUGUGUGAAGAAGGUCUUCGGAUUGUAAAGCACUUUAAGUUGGGAGGAAGGGCAGUAAGUUAAUACCUUGCUGUUUUGACGUUACCGACAGAAUAAGCACCGGCUAACUCUGUGCCAGCAGCCGCGGUAAUACAGAGGGUGCAAGCGUUAAUCGGAAUUACUGGGCGUAAAGCGCGCGUAGGUGGUUUGUUAAGUUGGAUGUGAAAGCCCCGGGCUCAACCUGGGAACUGCAUCCAAAACUGGCAAGCUAGAGUACGGUAGAGGGUGGUGGAAUUUCCUGUGUAGCGGUGAAAUGCGUAGAUAUAGGAAGGAACACCAGUGGCGAAGGCGACCACCUGGACUGAUACUGACACUGAGGUGCGAAAGCGUGGGGAGCAAACAGGAUUAGAUACCCCUGGUAGUCCACGCCCGUAAACGAUGUCAACUAGCCGUUGGAAUCCUUGAGAUUUUAGUGGCGCAGCUAACGCAUUAAGUUGACCGCCCUGGGGAGUACGGCCGCAAGGUUAAAACUCAAAUGAAUUUGACGGGGGCCCGCACAAGCGGUGGAGCAUGUGGUUUAAUUCGAACCAACGCGGAAAAACUUACCGGGCCCUGACAUGCAGAGAACUUUCCAGAAAUGGAUUGGUUGCCUUCGGGAACUCUGAC